GCACCCGUAGCUCAGCUGGAUAGAGCGCUGCCCUCCGAAGGCAGAGGCCAGAGGUUCGAAUCCUCUCGGGUGCGCCA
rnacentral:tRNA from 166 species